UUCCGAAACACCUUAAGCGAUUGCGAGCUCAAGGAGAUUCACCUUCAAAAUAGAAGAUUCACUUGGAGUAAUGAACAAAACAAUCCGACUUUGAGCAAACUUGACAGUUUCUUUUGCAAUGAAGAUUGGGACGUCAAUUUCUCUACUCACAUUCUUCAUGCCCUCUCAUCAUCGCUAUCCGACCAC
rnacentral:rRNA from 1 species